rnacentral:lncRNA from 1 species
GGAAACACCAAAACUCACCUGAGUUGGGGAAAGAGAGAGUGCCCAGAAUGAAGAAUGACAGCAGGGAAGGUUGGAGGGCCAGGAAGGCCUGCUUAGCUGUGCCCUCCCCUGCUGGCGCCACCACCAUCACUCCAGCACCAGGAAAGUAGCUGCAUGAACGCACCUGAACACCCCCAACCCUCCUUCCCUCCCCCCGCACUCUCAGACCUCCUAAUUGUGCCAGUCCUUGGACCCAU